GACGAACGCUGGCGGCGUGCUUAACACAUGCAAGUCGAACGGAAAGGCCCUGCUUUUGUGGGGUGCUCGAGUGGCGAACGGGUGAGUAACACGUGAGUAACCUGCCCUUGACUUUGGGAUAACUUCAGGAAACUGGGGCUAAUACCGGAUAGGAGCUCCUGCUGCAUGGUGGGGGUCGGAAAGUUUCGGCGGUUGGGGAUGGACUCGCGGCUUAUCAGCUUGUUGGUGGGGUAGUGGCUUACCAAGGCUUUGACGGGUAGCCGGCCUGGGAGGGUGACCGGCCACGUUGGGACUGGGCUGCGGCCCGGACUCCUACGGGACGCAGAAGUGGGGAAUAUUGCACUAUGGGCGGAAGCCUGAUGCAGCAACGCCGCGUGCGGGAUGACGGCCUUCGGUUUGUAAUCCGCUUUCGCCUGUGACGAAGCGUGAGUGACGGUAAUGGGUAAAGAAGCACCGGCUAACUACGUG
rnacentral:rRNA from 1 species